UUGAACGCUGGCGGCAUGCUUUACACAUGCAAGUCGAACGGCAGCGGGGGCUUCGGCCUGCCGGCGAGUGGCGAACGGGUGAGUAAUGCAUCGGAACGUACCCAGUCAUGGGGGAUAACUACGCGAAAGCGUGGCUAAUACCGCAUACGCCCUGAGGGGGAAAGCGGGGGACCUUCGGGCCUCGCGCGAUUGGAGCGGCUGAUGUCGGAUUAGCUGGUUGGUGGGGUAAAGGCCUACCAAGGCGACGAUCCGUAGCGGGUCUGAGAGGACGAGCAGCCAAACUGGGACUGAGACACGGCCCAGACUCCUACGGGAGGCAGCAGUGGGGAAUUUUGGACAAUGGGCGCAAGCCUGAUCCAGCCAUGCCGCGUGAGUGAAGAAGGCCUUCGGGUUGUAAAGCUCUUUCAGGAGGGAAGAAACGGUUGCGGCUAAUACCCGCGACUAAUGACGGUACCUUCAGAAGAAGCACCGGCUAACUACGU
rnacentral:rRNA from 1 species